rnacentral:lncRNA from 1 species
AUGUUUCAUUUUCUUUGUGCUUUUCAGUUUUCUUACAGUCUUACAUUACAUUUGGAAUCAGUAAAGACAAAAAACCCAACUGCUAUUGUUUUCACGAAUGGUACUGAUGAAACCUUGCACCACAAAGAGUCAAGGCCGGGAAGACUGUCCUUCUGCCAGUGGACAGAUCCCUGUUGAGACCCAUCGGCUCACCGGACACCCCAUUAUUACUGCCGCCUGAUCCCCCAUCAUUGUUCCCUUUCUACCUCGUGACACAUCCCAACGCUUGGUAUCUGCGUCAUCUUUGAACAUUCUCACGUCCUUCAGCAUGCAGCUGUGUCUUUGGAGUCUGCCUCUUUCCCUGUAUCACCCUCUGCCCUUGCACUUGGCUCGGGUGCACGGGUCCUAAGCUUGGUACAGACACUAACUCACUCCUUGUCUGCCACAUGUGGCCACAAAUGAUCAACCUCGCUCCUGUGGAACACUGUGGCCAAAAACCCAAUCUUGAAAAAGACACUUGUGACAAAUUCAUUUUGGACUUCCUGUAUCAUUAUUAAAACGGUGGUCAACAGUCAGUCUACACAAUUUGAGAUGCACCUUGAUGUAAAAAAAUGUUUCCAAAAAGUUGAGGAUAAAUGAAAUGUUGAUAAAUUUAUUCUCAACUGUUUAGUGUACACUUCUCAUUUUAGUAAGUCUGUACUUAGAAUUUGGGGAAAUUAACUUACUCAUAAGUGAAUUUAGCAUGGGAAAGAAAACACAUAAGUACAACAUUGGUAGAUUACAAGUGACAAAUGUUUGAAGAAUGAAUGAGCAAGCGAAUGAAUGCAUUGGUGUUACUGGGCAAAAACAAUAAAUGAAAUAUUGGAUACUAUGGCAUGUAAGCAUAUAUACAGUUUUUAAUGAUAAAAGGAUGGUGUUUAUUUGGUAGAAACCACACCAGGAAUAAUGUUAUACAGUCAAUAUAAUCUCAGUGUAUAACCCUGUAAAUGUGAAGAAGCUUAAGUGUACUAGCCACUGGAUGAAGGCUAUUAUAGGUCAUUUUUAUAUACUUUAUAUUUUCUGUAUUUUCUACCUUUUCAAUAAGCACAUAUUACUAUUAAAAGACACUAUUUUCAAAAUGGUAUAGGCACUAAGUUCUACGAGUGCCAAAGAAAGACAUGACUUUGGACCACAGCACAUUGGGAGGGCUUCUUGGGUGAGUGAAUUCUGAGCGGAGUAAUGCAGAUAGGAUUGGAAGGAAAAUGGUAAAGCGUUUAGGUGGGUAACCGGCCAGGAUUGAGGAGAUAUCAAAUGAUAUUUUAAGUAUAAUUCUGUAUUAUUUUUGAAUGGACUUUCGUAAAGACAACCAUUGCCCUCACAGUGGGCAGUUACUUUGUGUGUUUACAGUGGGUGACAAUCCGGCUAGGGAUGAAUCAGUCUGGCCCAGCUUUUCCAUCAUAGUAAAGGACAAGCAGUACAUCACCCCAAGAGCCUCGGAGGCAUAAUGUAAAGUAUUCCUGAAAGCAUAGUAUUAUCUGUCUUAUUUUAUCUUAAAAUCUGCAUUAUUUGACUUCUGUUCCUAUACCUAUGUAUUUGUGUUAAGAUAUAAAUAAUGCUCUUUUCAUUUCAAACUACUGGGAUCACAGUAGGAAAAAAAACACUCUCCUAGGAAAUCAUGCCAUUCCUGUCUCAUGACUUCAAUAUCCUACUGAUAUACUAGUCAAGCUUCUCUAGGUAUAUGCUCUUUUGAGAAGAAUCAGACUGAUGGUUAUUAUAGCUUCAAAAAGUUAAUUACUAAUACUGAGUUUUUAAAAAGCAGUGCACAUUUCAUUUGCUUCCAUAAACAGUCAUGAAAAACAAACUGUUCAGCAAAAGCAAGGUGAGUACAAGCCAGAAAACAAACCUAGGGAUUCGCAAAUUUCUAUUUAGGAGAAAGUUGACCAUACCCGACAUAUUUGUUCAAACGAUUUGAAUUGCCUGUGUCUUGAUUAUAAAAUGCCUCUCUGACCCCUUGCCUUUUCCUGUGGCCACUUCUACUGUCCGAUGUUGAAUUUAAGAUUUGGGACAUGUGUGCAGAUAUAAAAUGCCAAGUUUAGAUAAGUGCACAUUGAUAUAUGGGAAAGAGGACAGAAAGGAAAUUGACGAAAACACAUGAUACUUUUUGCUUCUGCUUUCUACAGGAGUGGCCAGUCCCCUCUAUGGCAUUUUCGUGCUGGUGUUUCAGACACCCAAGAAUCUGAAUAAAAAUUUUAGGAUACUUGGGCCCAGCCAGAGGAAGCAAGGACUGGGUGAAAUGCUCUGUAUGGUAAAGAAAAAUGGAAUUUUGAAUUUACAAGAAGACCAAGAGUCAAAAUGAGGUACCCUGAGAACACAUUAAAGAUUUUAACAAAACUGACGAGUGUCUAAUGUGAGAGUGGCCUAGGAAAAGACUGGAAAGCCAAGGCUUACAGGGGAACUAAACAGUGAGAAAAUCCUGAUCAUAUGAUAGAGUUCAGGGUUUGGCAUUUUUCUUCUGAAGGACCAGAUAGUAAGUCUUGGUCUGUGUAGCUUCUACUCAAUUCUGCUGUUAGAGCAUGAAAGCAGCCAUAAAUAGGCUAACAGUGGGGGAGGCUGGGUUCCAAUACCUAUAUUUACAAAACAGUCACUUUUUAGUCCAUUGAUUUCUAAUAUUCACUUCUACGUGUGUGCCACUUCGGUACACAUAGUUUGGUAAUUUCCCUUUUCACCCCGGUCCUGUAGCAAACAGCUAAACAGUGACCACCCAACAGCUAUGGUAGUAGGCUGGUACUUUGACUAGGUGGCAUGCAGGGAUGAGGUGUGGUGACAAGCCCCUGUUGGGGAGGACAGGAAACAGGAAGGAGAGAGCAGUCCUAGGAGACCUGGUGAGGCAGAGAAUUCAGUGGGAGCCAGAAAGCAGGGGGAGGUAAAUGCGAAGUCUCCACAGGAUCCCCAGGUGAUCCUGCACAUUUAAGGGAAGGGGGAGCCA